rnacentral:rRNA from 1 species
AUUGAACGCUGGCGGCAGGCCUAACACAUGCACGUCGCGCGGCGCGGCGGACGGGUGAGUACUGCCUAGGAAUCUGCCUGGUAGUGGGGGAUAACGUCCGGAAACGGGCGAUAAUAUCGCAUAAUAUCAGAUGAGCCUAGGUCGGAAUAGCUAGUUGGUGGGGUAAAGGCCAACCUAGGCGACGAUCCGUAACUGGUCUGAGAGGAUGCUCAGUCACACGGGAAGGUGGACACGGUCCAGACUCCAACGGGGGGCAGCAGGGGGGAAUAUGUGGCAAGGGGCGAAAGCCGGAUCCAGCCAUGCCGCGUGUGUGAAGAAGGUCUUCGGAUUGUAAAGCACUGUAAGUUGGGAGGCGUUUCCAACAGAAGAAGCACCGGCUAACAUCGGGCCAGCAGCCGCGGUAAUAC